rnacentral:rRNA from 1 species
UACGAAGGGGGCUAGCGUUGCUCGGAAUUACUGGGCGUAAAGGGCGCGUAGGCGGCACUGUUAGUCAGGCGUGAAAAGUCCUGGGCUCAACCUGGGAACUGCGCUUGAUACGGCAGAGCUAGAGGAUGGAAGAGGCUCGCGGAAUUCCCAGUGUAGAGGUGAAAUUCGUAGAUAUUGGGAAGAACACCGGUGGCGAAGGCGGCGAGCUGGUCCAUUACUGACGCUGAGGCGCGACAGCGUGGGGGAGCAAACAGG